CUUUAAUUGGUCACAGUACUUGACCAUCUGGGGUUGGAGAGAGGGAGAGAUUGACGAGAGAGAAACGGAGCGAUGAAACGAGAGGGAGGGUUGCUUCUCUAGGUGUGAGAAGCGGAGACGGAGAGAGGGAGCUCCUUUGCUGGCAUGGCCUGUGGGAGGAAUGGUGUCACGGAGGGAGAGAGUAUGUUUAAAGUGUUCAACCUGCUUCCUGUGCUCUGUGUGUACAGGCUUGCAGUUGGCCGUAUAUCCAUCUGAAAAGAGUGCUCUCUCCUUCUGUCUGUGUCUCAGUGUUGUGAUGACACGAGGAGCAGUCAGUCUCCUCUCAAUUUUCAAUUCAAUUUAAGGGCUUUAUUGGUAUGGGAAACAUAUGUUUACAUUGCCAAAG